rnacentral:rRNA from 1 species
GUUUGUUUAAAGUUUAAUUUAUUAAAAAUAAUUAUAAAAAUUUAAGUUUAAGUAUUUUUUAAAGAAAAAAUAAUUUUUAUUAUAAAUUAUUAGUAUUGAAAAAGAAUAUUGAAAUAAAUUGAAAAAUAAAUAAAUUUAAAAGAAAAUUUAAUUAAUUGUACCUUGUGUAUCAGGGUUUAUCAAAUAAAAAAUAAAUAAUUAUUUUUCUCGAUUUUAAGAGAUCUAAUUAAUUAUGAUUGUUAAUGUGGCAUAAUUAUAUUUAAUAAUUAAUUAGAAAUGAAACGUUAUUCGUUCUUAAAUAUAUCUAGUUUUUUAAGAAAUAAAUUUAAUUUAUAUAUUUUUAAUAUUAUUUUUUUUGUUUAAAAUUAAUAAAUUUAUUAAUAUAAAUAUUUUAAGGGAUAAGCUUUAUAAUAAAUUAUUAAACUUUGUAAUAAUAUUUAAUAAAUAUAAGCUUAGAAUUAGUUAUUAUAAAUAAAUGUGUUAUAAUUUAUUUAAAAAAUAAAUAUAAUUUAUUUAAAAAGUUAAAUUUUUUAUUAAAAUGUUAAUUUUAACAAUAAAAAUUAAGUAAUAAUGAUAAAAUUAGUAUAUAAAUAUUAUAUAAAAAUAAUAUAUAAUAAAAGAUUUUUUUAAAUAAUUCGGCAAAAAUUUUAUGCUCGCCUGUUUAUCAAAAACAUGUCUUUUUGUAUUUAAUUUAAAGUCUGGCCUGCCCACUGAAUUAAUUUUUUAAAGGCUGCGGUAUUUUGACCGUACAAAGGUAGCAUAAUCAUUAGUUUUUUAAUUGGAAACUCGUAUGAAUGGUUAAACGAGGCAUAAGCUGUUUCAAAGAAAAUUUUAUAGAAAUUAAUUUUUUAGUAAAAAAGCUAAAAUAAAAUUAAAAGACGAGAAGACCCUAUAGAGUUUUAUAUAAAUUAAUUAUAGUUUAUAAAUAAUAAUUAAAUCUUUAGUUAAAUUUAUAUUUUGUUGGGGUGACAGUAAAAUUUAAUUAUCUUUUAUUAUUUUUAAACAAUGAUUAUUGAAUAAUUGAUCCAUUUUUAGUGAUUAUAAGAUUAAAUUACCUUAGGGAUAACAGCGUAAUUUUUUUGUAGAGUUCUUAUCGAUAAAAAAUUUUGCGACCUCGAUGUUGGAUUAAGAAUAAUUUUAGGUGUAGAAGCUUAAUAAAUUAGGUCUGUUCGACCUUUAAUUUCUUACAUGAUCUGAGUUCAAACCGGUGUAAGCCAGGUUGGUUUCUAUCUUUAAUAAAAAUUUACAUUUUAGUACGAAAGGACCAAUUGUAAGAAAUAUUAAUUUUAAAAUAAUGAAUAUUAUUAAAUUAUUA